AACGAACGCUGGCGGCAGGCUUAACACAUGCAAGUCGAGCGCCCCGCAAGGGGAGCGGCAGACGGGUGAGUAACACGUGGGAACAUACCCAUCUCUGCGGAACAACUCCGGGAAACUGGAGCUAAUACCGCAUACGCCCUACGGGGGAAAGAUUUAUCGGGGAAGGAUUGGCCCGCGUUGGAUUAGCUAGUUGGUGGGGUAAAGGCCUACCAAGGCGACGAUCCAUAGCCGGUCUGAGAGGAUGAUCAGCCACAUUGGGACUGAGACACGGCCCAAACUCCUACGGGAGGCAGCAGUGGGGAAUAUUGGACAAUGGGCGCAAGCCUGAUCCAGCCAUGCCGCGUGAGUGAUGAAGGCCUUAGGGUUGUAAAGCUCUUUCACCGAUGAAGAUAAUGACGGUAGUCGGAGAAGAAGCCCCGGCUAACUUCGUGCCAGCCGCCGCAGUAA
rnacentral:rRNA from 1 species